rnacentral:rRNA from 1 species
UUGAAAUACCACCCUUUAAUGUUUGAUGUUCUAACGUGGACCCGUAAUCCGGGUUGCGGACAGUGUCUGGUGGGUAGUUUGACUGGGGCGGUCUCCUCCUAAAGAGUAACGGAGGAGCACGAAGGUUGGCUAAUCCUGGUCGGACAUCAGGAGGUUAGUGCAAUGGCAUAAGCCAGCUUGACUGCGAGCGUGACGGCGCGAGCAGGUGCGAAAGCAGGUCAUAGUGAUCCGGUGGUUCUGAAUGGAAGGGCCAUCGCUCAACGGAUAAAAGGUACUCCGGGGAUAACAGGCUGAUACCGCCCAAGAGUUCAUAUCGACGGCGGUGUUUGGCACCUCGAUGUCGGCUCAUCACAUCCUGGGGCUGAAGUAGGUCCCAAGGGUAUGGCUGUUCGCCAUUUAAAGUGGUACGCGAGCUGGGUUUAGAACGUCGUGAGACAGUUCGGUCCCUAUCUGCCGUGGGCGCUGGAGAACUGAGGGGGGCUGCUCCUAGUACGAGAGGACCGGAGUGGACGCAUCACUGGUGUUCGGGUUGUCAUGCCAAUGGCACUGCCCGGUAGCUAAAUGCGGAAGAGAUAAGUGCUGAAAGCAUCUAAGCACGAAACUUGCCCCGAGA